GACGAACGCUGGCGGCGUGCUUAACACAUGCAAGUCGAACGGUGACGAGGAGCUUGCUCCUCUGAUCAGUGGCGAACGGGUGAGUAACACGUGAGCAACCUGCCCCAGACUCUGGGAUAACAGUUGGAAACAGCUGCUAAUACCGGAUACGAGACGGAGAGGCAUCUCUACCGUCUGGAAAGUUUUUCGGUCUGGGAUGGACUCGCGGCCUAUCAGCUAGUUGGUGAGGUAAUGGCUCACCAAGGCGACGACGGGUAGCCGGCCUGAGAGGGCGACCGGCCACACUGGGACUGAGACACGGCCCAGACUCCUACGGGAGGCAGCAGUGGGGAAUAUUGCACAAUGGGCGAAAGCCUGAUGCAGCGACGCCGCGUGAGGGAUGACGGCCUCGGUUGUAACGUACUUCUACGCAGGAAGGAAGACGGAAAGUAGACGGGUAACCGUACGGCGAGAAGAAGACGACCGGCCGUAACCUAACGUACGCCACGCAGCCGCGGUAAACGU
rnacentral:rRNA from 1 species